AUUGAACGCUGGCGGAAUGCUUUACACAUGCAAGUCGAACGGUAGAGGGGGCAACCCCUCGAGAGUGGCGAACGGGUGAGUAAUAUAUCGGAACGUGCCCAGUCGUGGGGAUAACGUAGCGAAAGUUACGCUAAUACCGCAUACGAUCUAAGGAUGGAAGCGGGGGAUCGCAAGACCUCGCGCGAUUGGAGCGGCCGAUAUCAGAUUAGGUAGUUGGUGGGGUAAAGGCUCACCAAGCCAACGAUCUGUAGCUGGUCUGAGAGGACGACCAGCCACACUGGAACUGAGACACGGUCCAGACCCCUACGGGAGGCAGCAGUGGGGAAUUUUGGACAAUGGACGCAAGUCUGAUCCAGCCAUUCCGCGUGCAGGAUGAAGGCCCUCGGGUUGUAAACUGCUUUUGUACGGAACGAAAAGGUCUCUCUUAAUACGGGGGGCUCAUGACGGUACCGUAAGAAUAAGCACCGGCUAACUACGUGCCAGCAGCCGCGGUAA
rnacentral:rRNA from 1 species